rnacentral:rRNA from 1 species
UACGUAGGGUGCGAGCGUUGUCCGGAAUUAUUGGGCGUAAAGAGCUCGUAGGCGGUCUGUCGCGUCGGUCGUGAAAACUUGGGGCUUAACCCUGAGCUUGCGGUCGAUACGGGCAUGACUGGAGUUCGGCAGGGGGAGACUGGAAUUCCUGGUGUAGCGGUGAAAUGCGCAGAUAUCAGGAGGAACACCGGUGGCGAAGGCGGGUCUCUGGGCCGAUACUGACGCUGAGGAGCGAAAGCGUGGGGGAGCGAACAGG